ACUUCAUGAAGCUGGAAUUGCUAGUAAUGGCAGGUCAGCAUACUGCCGUGAAUACGUUCCCGGGCCUUGUACACACCGCCCGUCACACCAUGAGAGUUGGGAAUACCCGAAGCCUGUGAGCUAACUGUAAAGAGGCAGCAGUCGAAAGUAGAAUCAAUGAUUGGGGUGAAGUCGUAACAAGGUAUC
rnacentral:rRNA from 1 species